CUUAAAGGAUUUUAGAAAAAUGAAGAUCAAGCCACUUUAUUUUUGUAUUGCAGUAUGCUAAAUAGUGUGCUGGUACUGGAUUGGAGGUUAUAGGAGGUGGGAACAGCCGGGCAGAGCAUUCUACUCGGGUAGGAGCUUCUCAGAAAAGACACAAGGCUGGUAAGAAGAAGGGUGUGCCAGGAUUCCAGCUAUAGCCAGUUUAGCUCUUGUAACAUGUGAUAUUGGUGGGUCAAGUAAUUACAUUUUAGUACAUACCGGUAGAAUGAAUUGUAUUAAGUUUAUGAAGGUGGGUUUGCGGCGCAGGUGCCUACACUACAUCUCCAUAAUCAAUGAUCGGCAUUAGCAUUUGUUUCCUUUCUGUAGGGCUUAGGCAGGACUUGUUUCUGUAUAGGGCAUCUAGUUUUAGAUAAAGUUUUGAAGAGGUUUUUUUUUUCGAUGUGAAGGCCAAAGAAUAGAUUAGGGUCUAGCAACA